rnacentral:rRNA from 1 species
AUUGAACGCUGGCGGCAGGCCUAACACAUGCAAGUCGAGCGAGCGGCGGACGGGUGAGUAAUGUAUGGGGACUGCCCGAUAGAGGGGAUAACCACUGGAAACGGUAGCUAAUACCGCCUACUCUCGGAUAACCCAUUGUGGCUGAGCUGGUUGGUGGGGUAAUGGCUCACCAAGGCGACGAUCCCUAGCUGGUCUGAGAGGAUGAUCAGCCACACUGGGACUGAGACACGGCCCAGACCCCUAGGGAGGCAGCAGGGGGGAAUAUUGCACAAGGGGCGCAAGCCUGAUGCAGCCAUGCGGCGUGUAUGAGGAAGGCCCUAGGGUUGUAAAGUACUUUCAGUCGGGAGGCGGUACCGACAGAAGAAGCACCGGCUAACUCCGUGCCAGCAGCCGCGGUAAUAC